rnacentral:rRNA from 1 species
UGGGGGAUAUUGCGCAAUGGGGGAAACCCUGACGCAGCGACGCCGCGUGAGCGAGGAAGGCCUUCGGGUCGUAAAGCUCUGUCCCCGGGGAAGAAGGAAUGACGGUACCUGGGGAGGAAGCCCCGGCUAACUACGUG